rnacentral:rRNA from 1 species
UACGUAGGGGGCAAGGCGUUGUCCGGAUUUAUUGGGCGUAAAGAGCGUGUAGGCGGCUUGGAAGGUCAGCUGUGAAAACUCGAGGCUCAACCUCGAGACGUCGGUUGAAACCACCUGGCUAGAGUCCGGAAGAGGAGAGUGGAAUUCCCGGUGUAGCGGUGAAAUGCGCAGAUAUUGGGAGGAACACCAGUGGCGAAGGCGGCUCACUGGACCGGUACUGACGCUGAUGCGCGAAAGCGUGGGGAGCAAACGGG